rnacentral:misc_RNA from 1 species
AAGUUGUAACAAGGUUUCCAUAGGUGAAUCUGCGGAAGGAUCAUUAAAAAACUGAGGUAUUUUAUACCUCUUGUAUUUAAAACUAACUCUUUUUUAAAUAUAAAUUUUUUAAAAAAAUAAGAACUUUUAACAAUUGAUCUCUUGGUUCUC